UACGUAGGAGGCAAGCGUUAUCCGGAUUUACUGGGCGUAAAGAGGGUGUAGGCGGCGCAUCAAGUUGGAUGUGAAAUCUCCCGGCUAAACUGGGAGGGUGCGUUCAAAACUGAUGUGCUCGAGUGCAGCAGAGGAAAGCGGAAUUCCCGGUGUAGUGGCGAAAUGCGUAGAUAUCGGGAAGAACACCAGUGGCGAAGGCGGCUUUCCAGGCUGUAACUGACGCUGAGGCCCGAAGGCGUGGGGAG
rnacentral:rRNA from 1 species